GUGGGGAAUAUUGCACAAUGGGGGAAACCCUGAUGCAGCGACGCCGCGUGAGUGAAGAAGUAUUUCGGUACGUAAAGCUCUAUCAGCAAGGAAGAAAAUGACGGUACUUGACUAAGAAGCCCCGGCUAACUACGUGCCAGCAGCCGCGGUAAUACGUAGGGGGCAAGCGUUAUCCGGAUUUACUGGGUGUAAAGGGAGCGUAGACGGUAUGGUAAGUCAGAUGUGAAAGCCCGGGGCUCAACCUCGGGACUGCAUUUGAAACUAUCAGACUAGAGUGCAGGAGAGGUAAGUGGAAUUCCUAGUGUAGCGGUGAAAUGCGUAGAUAGUAGGAGGAACACCAGUGGCGAAGGCGGCUUACUGGACUGUAACUGACGUUGAGGCUCGAAAGCGUGGGGAGCAAACAGGAUUAGAUACCCCGGUAGUCC
rnacentral:rRNA from 1 species